rnacentral:lncRNA from 1 species
GAAGAGCUGCCUGGGCUGCAGCCGCGGAAGCUGCGUUCUGGGGAGCGGGGAGCGUGCUCCGGCGCCUUCGGGCCGCUGCUGGAAGCCGGAACCGAGCCCGGGCCGCUGCCCCUCACCGGACGCCGCGCGCCACCGGCCCUCCGCGGGGCAGGGGCUGCUGCGAGCUCGCCGGGCGCCCUUUAGACGUAAGUCUCACCCUGCGCCCCGAGGCAGGAAGGAGCGCGUGCAGUCCCGGCCAGAAACGGCUAAUAGGAAGGGCUGAGGGGUUCUGUGUUCAAGGCAGAAGGCCGUGCGUCAGGGCGGCCCUCAGCGGAGAUGCGUGCACGGAGCGGGGAGCGCCGCUCGGGGCAGGGAAUGAAAGCGGCGCUUGAGACUGGAAAUUUAGGGAGAUGAGUUCCUUGGGAACAACGCUGAACCAUCUCACUGCCCCACCCUACCCCUUGUUAUUUUUUUUUGAGACAGGUCUCGCGCUGUCGUCCAGUCUGAGUGCAGUGACGCGAUCACGGCUCACUGCAGCCUCGACCUCCGGGGCUUACGGGUCAUCCCACCUCAGCCCUCUAAGUAGCUGGCACCACGGGCAUGCACCACCACACCCGGCUAAUUUUUUAAAAAAAGUUUUUCCGGAGAUAGGGUCUCGCUGUGUUACCCAGGCUGGUCUCGAACCCCUGGCCUGAAGCGAUCCUCCCGCCUCGGCCUCCCAAAGUGCUGGGAUUACAGGCGUGAGCCACUGCGCUCGGCUUUUCACCCCUUUCUAACGUUUUCCAUCCCUUUCUAACGUUUUCCAUACCCAGCGGUGCCCUGCCCACCCUCUCUUUAUCUCUCACUUUUCCCUCCUCUGUUUCUUCCUCGCUGAAGUCCAUUGGUGAAAGAAAAUUCAUGUGAAAGUUCUCAGAGUCGUCCUUGUCUACUCCACUACCAAAUGUUGAAGUUCUUCAAGAAUCAGUCCUUUGGAGGUGAUGUCAUUGAAAAUGAUGAGUAGGAAACUCCAAGAGCGCAUUUCUCCACAAAACCAGUGAAUACAUUGGCACAAAUUGUCAGAAUCAAUUUUAUAUAAAUUCUGGAAAUUAGUCAAAGGUUUAUAGUAACCAAGGAAACAUCUUUUUAAAAAGAUGGCUGAGGCUGGAUGCUGUGGCUUAUACCUGUAAUCCCAGCACUUUGAGAGGCCAAGGCGAGCAGAGCAUUUGAGUCAGGAGUUAGAGACCAGCAAAAAAAUUAGCUGGGUGUGUUUGCGGGCACCUGUAAUCCCUCAGGGAGGCUGAGGCAGGAGAAUCGCUUGAACCUGGAAGAUGGAGGUUGCAGUGAGCCAAGAUCGUGCCACCUCACUCCAGCCUGGGUGAUAGAGUGAGACUCUGUCUCAAAAAAAAAAAAAAAAAAAAGUCUGAAUCCUGAAUCUCAGGAGCGCUUUCUAUCAUUUAAACUUACCCUGGUGCCACCUCCCUGUCCAGCUUUGAAAACAACGACAUGCAUUUCUGAUAUCUGUUCCUGGUGCCAAAGGGAGCAGGAUGGCCUUGUUUUCUUUUCUUCUUUCUUUUUUUUUUUUGAGAUGGAGUUUUGCCCGUGUUGCCCAGGCUGGAGUGCAGUGGCGCAAUCUCGGCUCACAGCAACCUCCGCCUCCCGGCUUCAAGCGAUUCUCCUGCCUCAACCUCCCGAGUAGCUGGGAUUACAGGCACUUGCCACCAUGCCUGACCAAUUUUUGUAUUUUUAGUUGAGACGGGAUUUUGCCAUGUUGGCUAGGCUGGUCUCGAACUCCUGACCUCAGGUGAUCCGCCCACCUCAGCCUCCCAAAGUGCUGGGAUUACAGGCAUGAGCCACUGUGCCUGGCCGUGGACCUUCUUUUCAAAGAAUUAUGGAGGCUUAUUUUAGUUCCCCUAACUUGGAAAUCUCCUGAGGAAGAAAGGUGACUACAGGCAUUUGUCAAAAAUUUGUAAAGGCAAGUUUAUUAGCCUCUGCCAUCGGGGGCAAAGAAUAAUAGCUAAGGCAAACAAUAGACACACCAAAAAGCCUGGGAGGAAAAGCUGGAAAGUAAGAUAUUUUGGAGAAUAAAGGCUUUUAAAACUUCCACAUAUUCUUGGGAAUCCAAAAGGCCACAUGUACAUGCAGGGUGAGCAAAUAGAGAAGACUUGAGAAAGCCUUAAACUCUCACCUCUGGCUAACCAUCAGGCUUGCUCAAAUAGGAAGUGAAAACUAAGGUGAAUUUGUUGCUUAGCUGAAUGUUGAAGGUGUGCCCCAACACUUACACAGAGCCUACUGGUAAAGACUGAGAGUGUUUUCUUUUUGUCUUGGUUUCAGGCAUUUAAGGAAAUCUGUUUCUCUUUUGGAUCACUAGCUGCAAAUUAAGCUAACAGAACAGGAGCUCAGCUGGUCACACACAGCAACGAAUACAGACUUUAUAAAGUUCAGAAAAGUUACCAAACAGUGGUAACCAUAACAAGUACCAACAAUGAACUAUGGGGAGGGAGGAGAAUCUGAUUUCCAGAGUUACCACAUUAUAAUACUAUUCAAAAUGUCACAUUUUUAGCAAAGAUUACAUGACAAGGAAAAACCAGAAAAGUAUGGCCCAUACACAGGUAAAAAAAGAAAUUAAUAGAAACUACCCCUGAAGAAGCACAGACUUCGGAUGUACAAAACAAAGACUUUUCAUCAACUCUUUUAGAUAUGCUAGAAGAGCUAAAGGAAACCAUGGACAGAGAACAAAAAAAUUAGGAAAGCAAUGUCUCAUCCAAUACAGAAUAUCAAUAAAGAGAUUGAAAUUGUAGAAAAGAACCAAAUAGAAAUUCUGGAGUUGAAAAGUAUUAUAACUAAAACUGAAAAUUCACUAGAGGUAUUCAGCAGCAGACUGGAGAAGUCAGAAGAAAGAAUCAACAGGCUUCAAGAUAGGUCAAUUAAGAUUAUACAGUCUGAGGAGCAGAAAGGAAAAAGAAUGAAGAAAAAUGAACAGAGCAUAAAAGACCUCUGGGACUCUAUCAAGCAUACCAGUAUAUGCAUGAGGGGAGUCCCAGAAGGAGAAGAAAGAGAGAAAGGGACAUAAUAUUUGAAGAAAUAAUGGUAGAAAAUGUCCCAGCUUUGAUGAAAUACAUGAAUCUAGAUAUUCAAGAGGCUCAAAGAACCCUAAAUAGGGUAAACUCAAAAAGACCCACACCGGAAUGCAAAAGUGAGCUGGGUGUGGUGGCACGUGCCUGUGGUCCCAGCUACUCGAGAGGCUAAGGCAGGAAAAUCGCUUGAACCCAGGAGGCAGAGAUUGCGGUGAGCCGGGAUUGCGCCAGUGCACUCCAGCUGGGCGACAGAGCGAGAUUCCAUCUCGAAAAAAAAAAAAAAAAAAAAAAAAAACUAUUGCUGCAGUCAUUCAGAUGGAAAUGGGGAAAGAAUAAUAUUAACUGAUUUCAAAAAGGACUUGAAGAUGUGAAUCAUCUAUUUUGCUGAAGAAAUCUUAACUCUUUGAAAUUACUUUUUGUUGCUGUUGUCAUACUCUUAGGUGCCAAACUGCGGUAAAUUUUUUAUCAGUGAAGUGGAAGCAUGUGUUUUGUUGUUUUGGGAAUUUUUAUCAAGUAUCUUCAGAGAAGAUUAUUUCCUGCUUUAUCUUCAAAAACUGGAAAGGAAGGGUCAAAGAAAAGACAGUAGCUGGCCGGUCAUGGUGGCUCAUGCCUGUAAUCCCAACACUUUGGGAGGCUGAGGUGGGCAGAUCACCUGAGGUUGGGAGUUCGAGGCCAGCCUGACCAACGUGGAGAAAUGCCAUCUCUACUAAAGAUGCAAGGAUUGGCCGGGCGUGGUGGUGCGUGCCUGUGAUCCCAGCUGCUCAGGAGGCUGAGGCAGGAGAAUCGCUUGGACCUGGGAGGUGGAGGUUGCGGUGAGCUGAGAUCACGCCAUUGCACUCCAGCCUGGGCAACAAGCGAAACUCUGUCUCAAAAAAAAAGAAAAGACAGUAGCUUAUGUUCAUGUCAAGCACCUCUCAUCACAGUCUAGUUCCAAGGAAAAAAUUCCCAGCGUUUUCUACAUUCGGUGCUGCGUCAUCUGAAAUCGGCACAUUCCAUGGAGGAAGGAGUCCUGCUUUGUUGCAUGUAUCCUAGGGUUUAAUGUUGGUAAAUGAGUCACUCUAGCAUUUGUAGAAGGCUCCCUGAGACUCCUGCAGCAGUCGACCAAGCCCAAGGACAUAAUUGAAUCUGGAGAGUCCUGGGGCCUUGUUUUGAAAAAGACUUGAAAUACACAUAGGAAGAAAGGCAUAAAAAUAAAUGUUCACUUGUCUCUGCUGUGAGUAUGUGUUCCAACUUUUCAGUGAUGGCUUUGAGAAUUCUCAAACUUGACUGGCUCUAAGUGUAUCUGGUGGCUUUUGUAUCGUAACCUGAAACUGGCUUAGUACUUUUUCCUAAAAGCUCAGGAUUUGAGAAUGAGGACCCCUUCGCCAGGAAAACAUGUAUACACUCAAAAUUUUGCUUGCAGUUCUAGGGUGUUUAGACCUUUCUCAGAUACCUGUGCAUCUUAUGGGUUUUGUUUUUCUCUUUGAGACAGUCUCACCCUGUUGCCCAGGCUGGAGUGCAGUGGCAUGGUCUCAGCUCAUUGCAGCCUCCGCCUCCUGGGUUCAGGUGGUUCUGCCUCAGCCCCUUGAUCGGCUGGGAUUGCAUGCAUGUGCCACCAUGCCCGGCUCAUUUUUGUAUUUUUAGUGGAGAUGGAGACAGAGUUUCACCAUGUUGGCCGGGCUGGUCUUGGGCUCCUGACCUCAGGUGAUCCGCAAGCCUGGGCCUCCCGGGGUGCUGGGAUUACACGCGUGGGCAACUGCGCCCAGCCCUUGUGUACCUUAUGUGAGGAAGUCCUGCUCAAUCAGGAUCGGUCACGCAGGCCCUGAUCUUGCUACUCUGGUUCCAUGUCCUAUGGAAGACCAAAGUUUACCAAGAUAGAUUUUUCCCUUCAUAGUGGCAGAUACUGUUAACCCCUGCACCAUCUAUAACUCAGAAAUCCCCACCAUUUCUUCCCCUGGGCUUCAGAAUAGAAUUGCCUGGUUUCUCUGAUGAUCAGCACACUUCCUUAAAACCCAAAUCAGCAAGGAAUGAACAAUUUUGUUUGGCAUGGAUGAAAUUAGCACUGUUUGGCUCGGUAGGCCCCAGACAGGCAGGCACCUUAAUUUUUUCCUUGCAUAUUCUAGUCUUCAGAAGCAUUGCCUUUUGUCCUACUGGUAGUGACAUAGAUCAAUAACAGGGCAUCUGGGGAUUUUAAUCCUGAAAACAGUGAGUCUGAUACUGCUUGUGUUUUUCAUCAGUGUCCACCCCGAGUGGGUCUUCCUGCUAUUCUCUUCACUUAGUUGCCCCUCACUUGCCAUCUGAGCAAUUGGCAAGGAUGUGCCAGGCCUAGGUUAAACUUGGAAACAUGCUUGACCAUUCUAUUCCCUGGUCCUUUAAGAUCAGUUUGGCUGCAAUUUUGGCUCCUUGGACCCUCAAGCAUAGCUGGUAAAUCAAGUUAGAGAUGUAACUGCCUUAAAACGUGCCAGCUUAGGCUGGGCGCGGUGGCUCACGCCUGUAGUCCCAGCACUUCGGGAGGCUGGGGCAGGCGGAUCACCUGAGGUCAGGAGUUCGGGACCGGCCUGACCAACGUGGAGAAAUUCUGUCCCUACUAAAAAUGCAAAAUUGGCCGGGUGUGGUGGUGCAUGCCUGUAAUCCCAGCUACUUGGGAGGCUGAGGCAAGAGAAUUGCUUGAACCCAGGGAGGCGGAGGUUGCAGUGAGCCGAGAUCACGCCAUUGCAUUCCAGCUUGGGCAACAAAAGCAAAACUCUGUCUCAAAAAAAAAAAAAAGUGCCAGCGUAUGAGGUAAUUAGAUUGGUUCUCUCCAGAGGUAACCUGCCAAGAAGAGAUGCUAUAGAUGUUACUCAUAUACUGUAAAACAUUGUGAAAUCAGAUUACUUUAAAAUGAUGUAUUACAAAGUUUUGCAAAAAAGCAGUUGUGACUGUGGAAGCCCAAGGCUUAUAUCCCAGCUCUGUCUUACACUAAAUAUGGGUAGAGUGUUUCCACUCUGUCCAUAAAAUGGGAGCUAAUAUUCUCCAACCUGUGUGCCUGACAUGAUGGUUAAAAGGAUUAAACAAAACAAUAGUUUGUAAUUUAUUCUGUCAGAGCACACUGCUGGUAAAUAAAAGGGAGUAAGUUGACUAAAACUAAAUUUAAAAAAAAAUCCUAAUAAAACAAGUUUGUAAUUUAUAAUUGUAUACAAAUAAAAGAUGUUACAAAAAAAAAAAAGACCCACACCAAGACACAUCAUAAUUAAACCGUCAAAAGUCAAUGACAAUCCUGCAAGCAGCAAGAGAGAAGCAAUUCCUCACGUACAAAGGAUUCUCAAUAAGAUUAAUAGCUGACUUCUCAUUAGAAACCACAGAGGCCAGGAGGCAGAGGCAGUGGGAUGAUAUAUUCGAAGUGCUGAAAGAAAAAACUGUCAAGAAUUCUGUGUCCAGCAAAACUAUCCUUCAAAAAAAAAAAAAAAAAGUGAAGGAGAAAUUAAGACAUUCACAGAUAAGCAAAAACAGAAAGAGUAUCUCACUAGUAGUCCUGCCUUACAAGAAAUACUAAAAGGAUCCUUCAGCCUGAAAUGAAAAGACACUAGACAGUGAUUCAGAUCCACAUGAGGAAAUAAAAAACACUGAAAAAGAUUUAAAUACAUAGGUAGAUAUAAAUGAAAGCAAUAAUUAUAUCUGUGUCAAAGCACAAUGUAUAAAGGUGAUUCAUGAUGAGGAAAAGAUGAAGUAUAGGAGCAAAAAUUUUGUGUACUAUUGAAACUAAGUUGGUAUUUAUUUGAAAUAGAUUGUUAUAAAUGAAAGUUAAUUGUAAUCCCUAGAGCAACUACUAAGAAAAUAACUAAAAAUUUUGGAAAGGGAAUAAAAAUGGUAUGCUAGAAAAUAUCUAAUACAAAAAAGGCAUAAGGGAGGAAUUGAGGAAGACAUAGGGAAAACAAAUAGCAAGGGGCAAUGUCCUUCCUACUAAUUACAUUAAAUGUGAAUGCCUUAAAUUCCAUUUAACAGAUGGAGAGAUUGGCAGAAUGGAGUCUUUUAAAUGUUCUAACUAUAUCCUGUUUACAGAAGACUGACUUUAGAACCAAAGACACAAACAUGUUGAAAGUGAAAGGGUGUCACCUUAGUUUUCUUUCUUUUUUUUUUUUUUUGAGAUGGAGUUUCACUCUUUUUGCCCAGGCUGGAAUGCAAUGGCGUGCUUGGCUCACCACAACCUCCGCCUCCUGGGUCCAAGCAAUUCUCCUGCCUCAGCCUCCUGAGUAGCUGGGAUUACAGGCAUGCGCCACCACGCCCAGCUAAUUUUGUAUUUUUUAGUAGAGAUGGGGUUUCUCCAUGUUGGCCAGGCUGGUCUUGAACUCCCAACCUCAGGUGAUCUGCCCGCCUCGGCCUCCCAAAGUGCUGGGGUUACAGGCUGAGCCACCGCGCCCGGCCAGCACCUUAGUUUUCUUGUGCUGCCGUAACAGAAUACCUGAGACUGGGUAAUUUAUAUAGAGCAGAAAUUUAUUUUCUCACAGUUUUGGAAUCUGAGAAACUCAAAAUUACGACAUUGGCAGGUUUGGUUGUCUGGUAAGAGCUGCUUUCUGCUUCCAAGAUGACACCUUAUUGCUGCAUCUUCUAUAGGGGAGGAAUGUUACAUCCUCAACGUGGCAGAAGGUAAAAGGGCAAAAAGGAAUGAAAUUCCUCAUCAGGCCCUAAGUUAAGGGCACCUAAUCUCAUUCAUGAGGGGAGGAGCCCUCAAGACUUAACCACCUCUUACUGGCUGGGCGCAGUGGCUCACGCCUGUAAUCCCAGCACUUUGGAAGGCCGAGGCGGGUGGAUCACAAGGUCAGGAGAUAGAGACCAUCCUGGUCCUAGUAGAGACACGGUGAAACGCGGUCUUUACUAAAAAUACAAAAACAAGAUUAGCCGGCCGUGCUGGCGGGCGCCUGUAGUCCCAGCUACUUGGGAGGCUGAGAUGGGAGAAUGGCGUGAACCUGGGAGGCGGAGCUUGCAGUAAGCCGAGAUUGCGCCACUGCACUCCAGCCUGGGCGACAGAGCAAGACUCCGCCUCAAAAAAAAAAAAAAAAAAAAGACUUAACCACCUCUUAAAAGUCCCACCUCUUAAUACCAUCAUGUUGGCCAUUAAGUUUAAAUAUCUGAAUUUUGGAGGGCACACAUUCAAACCAUAGCAAGUGGAAAAAGACAUUCCAAGAUAUCUCAGGUUCACAUGGAACAUUCUUCAGAAUAAAACAUGUUAGUCCACAAGUCUCAGUUUUAAAAGAUUGAAUUACAAAGUGCCUUCUCUGACUACAAUGGAAUAAAACUGAAAAUAACACACCCUUAAACAACCAAUGGAUCAAAGAAAGAUUAAAUCACAAGAGAAAUCAGAAAAUACUUUGAGAUGAAUAAAAACAAAAAUGCAGCACCCUAAAACGUUUGGAAUGCAGCAAAAGCAGUGCUCAAAGGCAAUUUUAUAGCUGCACAUGCCUACAUUAAAAAAUACCUAGAAUCAGCAACCUAACCUUCCACCUUCAGGAACUAGAAAAAGAAGAGGAAAUCAAACCCAAAGCUAGCAGAAGGAAGGAAAUAGUAAAGACUGGAGUAGAGAUAAAUGAAAUAUACAGUAGAAAAUAGAAUCCACAAAACCAAAAUUUGGUUGUUUGAAAUAAUAAUGUUCACAAACCCUUAAAAAGACUGAGCAAGACAAAAAGAUUCAGGUUACUAAAAUCAGGAAUAAAGUGGGGACAUUACUGCCAAUCUUACAGAAAUAAAAAGGAUUGUAAGGAAAUACUAUUAACAAUUAUAUGCUAACAAAUUAGAUAACCUAGAUAAAAUGGACAAAUUCCUAGCAGCACACAAACUACCAAAACUAACUCAAGAAAAAACUAAACCUAUAACAGUACUAGUUAAAAAAAAAAAAAGUAAACCAGUUAAAAACAAAAAACUUCCAAGAUAGGAAAGAUCAAACCAUGUGGCUUUACUGGUGACGUAAAGUAUUUUAAGAGUGCCAGUCCUUCUCAAACACUUAAAGUAGGGGAAGAGGGAAUAUCUUAACUCAUUAUAUGAUGCCGGCGUUACCCUGGUACCAAAUCCAGACAAAGACAUCACAAGAAAAUAAAACUACAGUCCAAUAGUUCUAAUGAAUAUAGAUGCAAAGAUCCUCAGCCAAAGUGAAUCCUGAAGCACAUUACAAGGAUAUCCACAAACAAAACUGUUAGAGCUAAUACCUCAAUAUCACAGGAUGCCCAGGAUCAACAUACAAAAAUUAGUUAUAUUUCUGUAUCCUUGCAAUGAACAUUUCAAAGUGAAAUGAAGAAAACUCAUUUACAGUAGUAUCAAAAAGAAUAAAAUACUAAUAAACAAGAUGUAAGACUUACACACUGAGAACUACAAAACAUAGUUGAGAGAAAUUUAAAAAGACCUAAAUAAAUAGGCAUUUUAUGUUCACGUAUUAGAAGACUUUGAAAAUGGCAAUACUCCCCCAAUUAACCAACAGAAUCAGUGAAAUUCCUAUGAAAAUUCCAACUGCCAUUAAUGUAGAAAUGGGCAGGUUGAUCCUAAAAUUCAUAAGAAAUUGCAAGGAUGUGGCCAGGCGCGGUGGUUCAACGUCUGUAAUUCCAGCACUUUGGGAGGCUGAGGCGGGCGGAUCACGAGGUCAGGAGAUAGAUACCAUUCUGGGUAACACGGUUAAACCCCGUCUCUACUAAAAAUAAAAAAAAAAAAAGUGUAGCCGGGCAGGUGGUGGGCGCCUGUAGUCCCAGCUACUGGGGAGGCUGAGGCAGAAGAAUGGCAUGAACCCAGGAGGCAGAGUUUGCAAUGAGCCGAGAUCGCGCCACUGCACUCCAGACUGGGUGAGAGAGCUAGACUCCAUCUCGAAAGAAAAAAGAAAAUGAAAAAAAGAAAUUGCAAGGAUGCCAAAACAGUCUUGGAAAAGAACAAAGUUAGAAGACCCACAUUUUGUGAUUUCAAAAUUUACCACGAAGCUACAGUAAUCAAAAGAGUGUGGUACUGACAUAAGGAUAGAUAUGUAGGCCAAGAAAACAGAAUUGAGAGCCCAGAAGUAAGCCUAUACAUCUGUGGUCAAUUGAUUUUUGACAAAGGUGUCAAGAUAGAUCACUGGGGAAUAGAAUAGUAUUUUUAAGAAAUGCUGAGGAUACUGGGUAUCCACAUGUAAUAGAAUGGAUUUGGACCCUUACCUUACACCACAUGCAAACAUUAAGUCAAAAUAAAUCAAAUACCUAAAUAUAAGAAUGAAACUAUACAACUAUUAAAAGAAAAUAUUGGGGUAAGUCUACAUGACCUGGGAUUUCCCAGUGGAUUCUUAGAUAUGAUACCAAGAACUCAAGUAGCAACAUGAAAAAUAGAUACAACUGGGCUUGAUCAAAAUUUAAAACUUUACAUAUCAAAUGACACUAUCAAGAAAGAGAAAAGAGAACCCACUGAGUGAGAGAAAAUAUUUGCAAGUCGUAUACCUGGUAAAGCUCAAAUAACUCUUACAAGUCAUCAGUUAAAAGACGACCCAAGUUAAAAAUGGGCAAAGGACUUGAAUAGACAUUUCUCCAAGGGAGAUAUUCUAAUGGCCAAGUACAUGAAGAGAUGCUUUGCAUCAUAACCUUCCACCUUAAGGGAAAUGCAAAUCAAAACCACGAUGAGAUACCACUUUCUAUACUCACUAGGGUGCUAUUAUUAAAAGACAAGUGUUGGCAAGGAUGUGGAGAAAUUGGAAAGCUCAUAAAUUGCUGGCGGAAAUAUAAAAUGGUGCGUUCAUUAUAAAAUAGUUUGAUGGUUUAUCAAAAUUUUAAACGGAAUUAACAUAUAACCCAGCAGCUCUCCUAAAUAUAUACUCAAGAGGAUAGAAAACUAAUCAAACAAAAACUUCUGCAUGAGUGUGUAUAGCAGCACUAUAAUAGCCAAUAAGUAGAAACAACCCAAAUGUUCAUCAAUAGAUGAAUGGACAAAUUGUGGUAUAUUCAUAUAAUGAAAAACUACUCAGCCAUAAAAAGAAAUUAGGUACUAGUAUAUGUUGCAACAUGGAUCAACCUUGAAAGACCUUGCUAACUGAAAGAAAAGGCCACAUCUUACAUGAUUGUAUUUAUGUGAAACAUCUAGAAGAGGCACAUCCAUAGAGACAGAAAACAUUGGUGGAUGCUAGGGGUUAGGGAAAUGUAGAAGUGGGGAGUUGCUGCUUAAUGGGUUUCUUUUUUGAGUGAUGAAAAUAUUCAGAUUUAGGUAGUGGUGAUACUUGCAAACAUUGUGAAUGUACUGGAAGGCACUGAAUUGUACAGUAAAAUGGUUAAAAUGGUGAGUUUUAUGUCAUGUGAAUUUUACCCCAAUAAUACCUCAAUAAUAAUUUUUUAAAAGUAGCCCCUCUCUUAGUCCAUUUUGUGCUGCUCUAACAGAAUACCCGAAACUUUAUAAAGAACAAACGUUGGCCGGGCACUGUGGCUCACGUCUGUAAUCCCAGCACUUUGGGAGGCCGAGGUGGGCAGAUCACGAGGUCAGGAAUUAAGACCAGCCUAGCCAACAUGGUGAAACCCCGUCUCUACUAAAAAUAACAAAAACUAGCUGGGCGUGGUAGCACAUGCCUGUAAUCCCAGCUACUUGGGAGGCUGAGGCAGGAGAAUUGCUUAAACCCGGGAGGUGGGGGUUGCAGUGAGCUGCGAUCACGCCAUUGCACUCCAGCCUGGGCAACAGAGCAAGAGAUUCUUGUCUAAAAAAAAAAAAAAGGAACUAUAUUGGCCCACAUUUCUGGCAGUUGAGAAGUCCUAGAUGAAGGGGCCACAUCUAGUGAGGGCCUUCUUACUGCAUCGUAACGGUGGAAGGCAUCACAUGAUGAGAGAGAGAGCAAGAAAAGGUGCUUUUGUUACAAGCCCAUUCCAUUAUAAUGAACCCACUCCCAUGAUAACAAGCUAUUCAUGAGGACAGAGCCAUCAUGACCUAUUCUCUAAUUAGGCCCUACCUCCCGACACUGUUGCAUUGAAGAUUAAUUUUCCAACACAAGAACUUUGGGGGACACAAUCCAUAGCAGUCCCUCUCUUCACUAAUUUCUUUCCAUGAAUUCUUCCACUCCCCUGACUUUUGUGUGUAGUUACCAUCUAUACACAGAUGCUUCACUAGAGGCAGUUUGUAUCUCCAACCCACAUCUUUUUUUUGAGUUCCAGAUGUGAAUAUCCUGCUGUUUACUUACCUACCACCUCCACACAUAGCUUCAAAUGCAACUUUGAAAUAUAAAACUGAGUUCAUUACCUUUUCUCCUAAAUUUGAUUAUCUGUGAAUGCUUUCUGUCUCACUAAAGAUAGCUUCCAGUCAUUGAGAGUUUGCUGUAUGUUUGGACUAAAGUGUUAAUCCAUUAAUUUACUUAAUCCUCACAAGAACCUCAGAUAAUACUAUUUUCCAUUUGCAGUGAGAAAGUUGAAAGGUAAAAUAACUUAUUGAAAUCACACACCUUUUAAGGAAAGGCUAGCCCUCAACAAAGGCAGCCUGACUUUUCAGAGCCUAUGUUCUUAAUGCCAUUGCUAUACCAUCCUCUAACUUUUUCUAGAGACCUAGAAGUCAUCUUUGUCACUUCUCUCCUUUACAUGCUUUAUCAAGUUGAUCAUGAGGUCCUAUUGAUUUGACUUCCUAAAUAACUCUCACUCCAUCCAGUUCAUUUCAUCUGCUACCACCAGCCUUAUUCAAGCAACCAUCUUUUGUCUAUACAAUGGCCUCUUAACUAACCUCCCAUAUUCACUGACAACAACCUAAUAAAAAUAUUUAUAAAUAUAAAUUUGUAUCUUACAGGUAGGGAAUUUAUAUUCUUCUCUUAUUAUGCCCAAGGAAUAUUUCCAAAUAUUAAUCAUAAGAUUGAUCACCUAGAAAACCUUAGUGAAUCAUGAAAAGUAGAAAUCUUAAGAGCUGCUUUUCAGAUGAUAGUGCAAUAAAACCUAAAGUCAACAAAGGUUGUUUUUGUUUCUUGAUGAUUUUAACUGUUGGUUUACUAUCAGUCUCUCCAACACUCCUGCCUUAAUUCUUGGUGAUUUUAAUAUGCACAUCAAUGAUCUUUCCAAUAUCUUGACCUCCAGCUUCUUGGACACCUCUUUUCAUUCCACUUCAGCCACUCCUUUGGUCAUUCCCUAGUUAGAUCUGCUUAUUACCAUUAACUGCAAACUCAAUUAUCUCAACUUCAUGCAUCCACCUUUCUGGCUGCCACAUCCUGUCUUUCCAGCUUUCCCCUCUAGAUCCCUAGCUCCUCAUAAUUAUUUAUCUUUGUUGGUAAUUCUAAUCUAUUGAUUCUAUCACUGUUUCACUGCCCCUCACCCUUAUUUUCCUCCUCACUUGGCUUAAAUUCCAUAGCCAGUCAUUGAUUGGAUAUUCCUUUUACCCACUGACAAAACCGUAACCCUAAUCAUUACUUAUCUACUCCAUUCUUGCUCCCAUGUAGCUGAACAUGACUGGAAGAAAAAUGCAAGAGUUUCACUUUAAAUUCUUGAAGACAAACCUCAUGUGACCUCAAAAUGCUGCCAGUCAAUCAAAUUAUAUUUUCUCCAAGUUUAUUCACUUGUAGUCAGCUUGGGCUGCUACAAUAAAAUAUCAUAAAGUAGGUAGCUUGUAAACAACAGAUUGUCUUCCUUCUGGUUCUGGAGGCUGGGAAAUUCAUGAUCAAGGCACCAGCAGAUUUAGUGUCUGUUGAAGUCCAGCUUUGUGGUUCAUGGAUGGUGACUUCUCACUGUGAGAAGAUAUGGUGGAAGGAAAGAGGGGUCCUUUCUUGAGCCUCUUUUAUAAGGACACUAAUCUCAAUCAUGAGGACCACCCCCCAUAACCUAAUCACCCUCCAAACGUGAUUAGGCCUUCCAAUACCAUCACCUUGUGGGUUAGGAUUUCAACAUACGAAUUUUGAAGGGACACAAACAUUCAGAGCAUAGCACCCCCUUUUCCUGAAAUGAUUUUAUGUAAUGAUUUUAUGUAAUUGUCUCUUCUCGAAUAUCCAACACUCUAUUCCCAGUCUUACCCUCGAUGAUAACUCUUGUUCCUAUUUCCUGGAGAAAAUCAGAGCAAUCAGAAGAGAUCCCCUGCCACUAAAUCUAUCCUUCUAGCAGCUUGUGAACUCAUAUAAUUUUCUUUCCAGCCUGUUACCAUACAUAUAUGCAUGAUGUCCAUGCUCUCAUCUAAAAUCAGCCUCUGCUUGUGUACUAGAUCAGGGUUGACAAAAUGCAGCCUGUGGCCCAAAUCCUGCAUUUUGUUUUGUUUUUGUACAGCCCGUAAGCCAAGAAUAGUUUUUACUUUUUUUUUUUUUUUUUUUUUUUUGAGACAGUCUUACUCUGUUACCCAGGCUGGAGUGCAGUGGCACAAUCUUGGCUCACUGCAACCUCCACCUCCCGGGUUCAAGCGAUUCUUCUGCCU